UACGUAGGUGGCAAGCGUUGUCCGGAUUUACUGGGCGUAAAGGGCUUGUAGGCGGUUUGUUAAGUCUGGUGUGAAAUCUCCCGGCUCAACCGGGAGGGGUCAUCGGAUACUGGCAGACUUGAGACGGGUAGAGGAAAGCAGAAUUCCCGGUGUAGCGGUGAAAUGCGUAGAUAUCGGGAGGAAUACCAGUGGCGAAGGCGGCUUUCUGGGCCUGUUCUGACGCUGAGGAGCGAAAGCGUGGGGAGCAAACCGG
rnacentral:rRNA from 2 species